rnacentral:rRNA from 1 species
AUUGAACGCUGGCGGCAUGCCUUACACAUGCAAGUCGAACGGCAGCACGGGGCAACCUGGUGGCGAGUGGCGAACGGGUGAGUAAUGCAUCGGAACGUACCUUUCAGUGGGGGAUAACGUAGCGAAAGUUACGCUAAUACCGCAUAUUCUGUGAGCAGGAAAGCAGGGGAUCGCAAGACCUUGUGCUGAUUGAGCGGCCGAUGUCAGAUUAGCUAGUUGGUGAGGUAAAGGCUCACCAAGGCGACGAGCUGUAGCGGGUCUGAGAGGAUGAUCCGCCACACUGGAACUGAGACACGGUCCAGACUCCUACGGGAGGCAGCAGUGGGGAAUUUUGGACAAUGGGGGCAACCCUGAUCCAGCCAUGCCGCGUGAGUGAAGAAGGCCUUCGGGUUGUAAAGCUCUUUCGGCCGGGAAGAAAUCGCACGGGCUAAUACCCUGUGUGGAUGACGGUACCGGAAUAAGAAGCACCGGCUAACUACGUGCCAGCCGCCGCGGUAAAAC